GACGAACGCUGGCGGCGUGCUUAACACAUGCAAGUCGAACGGAAAGGCCCUGCUUUUGUGGGGUGCUCGAGUGGCGAACGGGUGAGUAACACGUGAGUAACCUGCCCUUGACUUUGGGAUAACUUCAGGAAACUGGGGCUAAUACCGGAUAGGAGCUCCUGCUGCAUGGUGGGGGUUGGAAAGUUUCGGCGGUUGGGGAUGGACUCGCGGCUUAUCAGCUUGUUGGUGGGGUAGUGGCUUACCAAGGCUUUGGCGGGUAGCCGGCAUGAGAGGGUGACCGGCCACAUGGGGACUGAGAUACGGCCCAGACUCCUACGGGAGGCAGCAGUGGGGAAUAUUGCACAAUGGGCGGAAGCCUGAUGCAGCAACGCCGCGGGCGGGAUGACGGCCUUCGGGUUGUAAACCGCUUUCGCCUGUGACGAAGCGUGAGUGACGGUAAUGGGUAAAGAAGCACCGGCUAACUACGUG
rnacentral:rRNA from 1 species